UAAUUUAGACAAACAAAAAGGAAGCCUUGCAUUAACAAGACUUCCCCAGUAGAGCCGUUUAAGACGGUAGCAAUUAAUUAGUGAUUAAAUA
rnacentral:sRNA from 21 species